rnacentral:rRNA from 2 species
GCGAGCGCAGGCGGUUGCUUAGGUCUGAUGUGAAAGCCUUCGGCUUAACCGAAGAAGUGCAUCGGAAACCGGGCGACUUGAGUGCAGAAGAGGACAGUGGAACUCCAUGUGUAGCGGUGGAAUGCGUAGAUAUAUGGAAGAACACCAGUGGCGAAGGCGGCUGUCUGGUCUGCAACUGACGCUGAGGCUCGAAAGCAUGGGUAGCGAACAGGAUUAGAUACCCUGGUAGUCCAUGCCGUAAACGAUGAGUGCUAGGUGUUGGAGGGUUUCCGCCCUUCAGUGCCGGAGCUAACCGCAUUAAGCACUCCGCCUGGGGAGUACGACCGCAAGGUUGAAACUCAAAGGAAUUGACGGGGGCCCGCACAAGCGGUGGAGCAUGUGGUUUAAUUCGAAGCUACGCGAAGAACCUUACCAGGUCUUGACAUCUUGCGCUAACCUUAGAGAUAAGGCGUUCCCUUCGGGGACGCAAU